ACGCUCGACACCUACGGGAGGUAGCAGUGGGGAAUAUUGCACAAUGGGGGAAACCCUGAUGCAGCGACGCCGCGUGGAGGAAGAAGGUCUUCGGAUUGUAAACUCCUGUUGUUGGGGAAAAAGAGGAUGGUACCCAACAAGGAAGUGACGGCUAACUACGUGCCAGCAGCCGACGGUAAUCUGAGCGGGCUGGCAAGGC
rnacentral:rRNA from 1 species